rnacentral:rRNA from 1 species
CAGUCGCCACGGUAAUACGAAGGGUGCAAGCGUUAAUCGGAAUUACUGGGCGUAAAGCGCGCGUAGGCGGUUUGUUAAGUCUGUUGUGAAAUCCCCGGGCUCAACCUGGGAAUGGCAAUGGAUACUGGCAAGCUAGAGUGUGUCAGAGGAUGGUGGAAUUCCCGGUGUAGCGGUGAAAUGCGUAGAGAUCGGGAGGAACAUCAGUGGCGAAGGCGGCCAUCUGGGACAACACUGACGCUGAGGCACGAAAGCGUGGGGAGCAAACAGGAUUAGAUACCCCGGUAGUCCCUGUCUCUUAUAC